rnacentral:other from 1 species
AUCUCCCUGCUGCGUUUGCGAGGCCCGUAAAUUCUUUGAGCCGAUAAGCUUUUGCUUAAGGUCGCGGUAAUCGUCCGCUGGUGUGCGCGUGGCUUAAUUGUCCAUGUACCCGAAGCGGUCAUGCCAUGGCCGAACUUGGACCCCUGGGUUCAAGAUGGCGGUCCGGACGGCGCAAGCGGGGAGACC